rnacentral:rRNA from 1 species
CCUACGGGUGGCAGCAGUGAGGAAUAUUGGUCAAUGGCCGGAAGCCUGAACCAGCCAUGCCGCGUGAAGGUCAGUGCCCUAUGGGCGUUAAACUUCUUUUGUGCGGGAGCAAUAAUGGUCACGUGUGGCCAGACGAUAGUACCGUACUAAUAAGCAUCGGCUAACACCGUGCCAGCAGCCGCGGUAAUACGGGGGAUGCAAGCGUUAUCCGGAGUUAUUGGGUUUAAAGGGUGCGUAGGCUGGGAGGUAAGUCAGCGGUGAAAUGCCCCCGCUCAACGGGGAGAAGUGCCAUUGAUACUGGCUGGCUGGAAUGCGGAUGCGGUGGGAGGAAUGUGUGGUGUAGCGGUGAAAUGCAUAGAUAUCACACAGAACACCGAUUGCGAAGGCAUCUCACGAAUCCGCGAUUGACGCUGAUGCACGAAAGCGUGGGUAUCAAACAGGAUUAGAUACCCCUGUAGUC